AUAACGGUGUAGUGGUUGCUUUCUCCAGAUUGCUUCUGACUCAACUAGGCAUUCGAACAACAGCCCUCCAGACGACUUUCUGGUGGAGGAACCUUAUUAACCAUAAAUAGAGGAUAAUUCAGAAAUGGCAGCUUUAAAACAAUACAGUUUGGUGGAAAUUGGAAAGCAUAAUACGCCUGAAGAUCUGUGGAUGGUGAUAGAUGAUAAGGUGUACGAUGUCACCAAAUUCCAGAAGGAGCAUCCUGGUGGCGAAGAAGUAUUGAUAGAGGCGGCUGGGAAAGACGCCACUAAUGAGUUUAACGAUGUUGGUCAUAGCAGUGAUGCUAAGGAACAAAUGAAGCAAUUCAUCAUUGGAGAGGUAGUGGAAAGCGAGCGGAAAAAGAAGGCUGCGCAACCAGAUUCGGCAUCUCCCCAAUCUGGUUCCUGGUUUAGCUCGCUGAAAAGUAAACUGUUUGGUUGAUCAACUUCGAAUAAAACUUUAUCCACAAUCAUGCUGUAUUUGUCAGGUUUAGAAAGGUGUAAAAAAUGGUGCUAGCUUGCUGCAACACGCUAUUUUUGCUGGAUCUGUAUUAGCCAUUAGUCUAGGAGUGAUUCUACUGUACAGGGCGCUCAGGAAGUGAGGCUUGUUGGCCCGGGCUGGAUUACAAAGUAUUUGUUAUAUUUGAAGCAAAUGUAACAUGUGAACUCCCAAAGUAUAAUGUUGUUAUAAUAGAGUGAUCAAAUCUG